rnacentral:rRNA from 1 species
GCAUGAAGUUGGAAUCGCUAGUAAUCGCGGAUCAGCAUGCCGCGGUGAAUACGUUCCCGGGCCUUGUACACACCGCCCGUCACACCAUGAGAGUCGGGAACACCCGAAGUCCGUAGCCUGACCGAAAGGGGGCGCGGCCGAAGGUGGGUUCGAUAAUUGGGGUGAAGUCGUAACAAGGUAGC